AUAAAUGGUGAACCAAUGGGAAAUGGAAGUGUUUUUAUUUAUAUUGGUGAACAGCAGGAGUGGAGCAUGUUGGUGCCUGCAGGACAUCAAAUCGCUGGCUGACUGGAUCCGGUAAACUGUAAUGGGUUCACCAUAGAGGACGAAGAGCUCUCCCAUCUAGGAUCAGCUGUUUUUCCUGAUGUAGCGCUGAUGAACCACAGCUGUAGUCCAAAUGUUAUUGUGACCUAUAAAGGCACAGUGGCUGAGGUCAGAGCCGUUCAAGAGAUAAACCCAGGGGAAGAGAUCUUUGACAGUUACAUAGACCUGCUGUAUCCAACAGAGGACCGGAGAGAGAGGCUGUUAGAUUCCUACUUCUUCAUGUGUCAGUGCACCGAGUGCACCAGCAGGUCAAAGGUGAUUGCUGCUGAAGUCCUCAAACUCUUUUUAUCUAAUGAGGAUAGAACAGUGUAGUUAAGGGGUAUGCAUAAGAUUGACAUAUCAUGUUAUAAACAUAAUAUUUUGAUAGAUUGAUUGGAUUGGAUUUAUUGUCACUGUACAGUGAACUGUAUAAUGAAACUAGUAGUACAGCUUCUUAGGGCAUUUAUAAACAAACAGUCUAAACAGGUAAGACUGGUGUGAUCUGGGAAAAAA